UGAUCCCUGGCUCAGAACGAACGCUGGCGGCAGGCCUAACACAUGCAAGUCGAGCGAGAUCUUCGGAUCUAGCGGCGGACGGGUGAGUAACGCGUGGGAAUAUGCCCUUCUCUACGGAAUAGCCUCGGGAAACUGGGAGUAAUACCGUAUACGCCCUUAGGGGGAAAGAUUUAUCGGAGAAGGAUUAGCCCGCGUUGGAUUAGGUAGUUGGUGGGGUAAUGGCCUACCAAGCCUACGAUCCAUAGCUGGUUUGAGAGGAUGAUCAGCCACACUGGGACUGAGACACGGCCCAGACUCCUACGGGAGGCAGCAGUGGGGAAUCUUAGACAAUGGGGGCAACCCUGAUC
rnacentral:rRNA from 1 species